CUCGGCCCGACCUCUCGCCACCCAAAGUUUUAGCUGAGGGGAAAGUGGCCCGCGAGGCGCCGGCCGGUGGCGGCUCUGGCUCCGGACGCGCGGGCUCCCCUCGCCUUCCUCAAGUCCACCCUACCGGCUGCCGCCGCCGCUCCUGCCGCGGAGUCCUCGGGCUGCAGCCCCGGCGGCUCGCAAGUAACUAUUACAUUCAAAGAUUGUUCUACCUUCUUAAAUCAUAGAAGAAAACAAAGGAAGACAGCAGCCAUGGAGCUUUCGUUGCAGAUGAGAGGAGGACCAGGAUUUGGUUACCAGCACCCAUGUCCAGCAGCUUACACCAGAGCAUGCAACUCCCUCUUCUGGUCUUCGUGAGUACCCAAAACCUAGAGAAGCAUGUGCAUACACACACAGAAACACAGACACAUAAAAAGAAAAAGUAAAUCCUACAUAAAUUAACUAAAAUCAAACUUACAUCAUACCCCAAA